rnacentral:misc_RNA from 1 species
GAAAUGCGAUAAGUAGUGUGAAUUGCAGAAUUCAGUGAAUCAUCGAAUCUUUGAACGCACAUUGCGCCCUUUGGUAUUCCAAAGGGCAUGCCUGUUCGAGCGUCAUUUGUACCCUCAAGCUUUGCUUGGUGUUGGGCGUCUUGUCUCUAGCUUUGCUGGAGGCUCGCCUUAAAGUAAUUGGCAGCCGGCCUACUGGUUUCGGAGCGCAGCACAAGUCGCACUCUCUAUCAGCAAAGGUCUAGCAUCCAUUAAGCCUUUUUUUCAACUUUUGACCUCGGAUCAGGUAGGGAUACCCGCUGAACUUAAGC